rnacentral:misc_RNA from 1 species
AAGUCGUAACAAGGUUUCCGUAGGUGAACCUGCGGAAGGAUCAUUACGCAUAGCGGAUGCGGCGCCCUCGCGGCCCGCUCCCCGCCCCGACCCGUCGGGACACCCUGUUUUUUGAGCACCAUUUGUUUCCUCGGCGGGCUUGCCCGCCAAUGAGGGCCCCCUUAAAACCUUGUAAUGAGCAGUCAGUCAGUAAGAAAAUAAAUUUGUCACAACUUUCAACAAUGGAUCUCUUGGCUCUG